GAAGUUUGAUCGUCCAUCUUUAUUAAAACGUCACAUGAGAACUCAUACAGGAGAAAAACCACAUGUUUGUGAAACAUGUAAUAAAGCAUUCUCGACAUCCAGUUCACUCAACACUCAUCGUCGUAUCCAUUCUGGAGAAAAACCACAUAUUUGUAAUAUUUGUGGUAAAAAGUUUACAGCUAGUUCUAAUCUGUAUUAUCAUCGUAUGACACACAACAAGGAUAAGCCACAUAAAUGUACGGAGUGUUCUAAAUCCUUCCCUACUCCUGGAGAUUUAAAAAGUCACAUGUAUGUUCAUAAUGGAUCCUGGCCUUUCAAAUGUCAGAUUUGUAAUCGAGGUUUCAGUAAACAAACCAA